rnacentral:lncRNA from 1 species
GCCUUUCACCGCAAGUGCCAGCGUGACGUCAUCUCAGGUGGCCUUUUUCGGAUCAGCAGCAGCGCCAGCGCCUCGCAUUCCGCUACGCGUUACCGGAGGCAGGAGCGAUGCGAGCCUUGCCUGGGUCCUUCGUCUUGGCACCUCCAAGGUCCCACCGUUCUCCGGGCUCCGGCACAAACGGCUGCGCCACUGCGAAAGCUUGCGUCGUUGGAAGUGCACCGAGCUGUCGACGACCUGGGUUGUCGGCGACGCUGCGGUGGCAGCUCGACGCGGGUGAAUCGCACGUAGCAGCACAGCGACAGCCGCCACGACCGUCGUCUAGCGCUUCGGCUUCGGCAGCUGCGGCAUCACCGGCGGCUCAGUUGUGCCGACGUGAUGUCAUGAACUACUGUGCCAAUUAGGAGCGCGCACUGCCGUGACGCGCACUUGUUGCUGAAUAAUUUCGUUUUUCACGUGCCCUCAUUUCCCGCAGCUCAAGUUCGCGGACUGCUUUAACUUUUUGUGUUAUAUAUUUAAUUAAAUAGCGAUUUGAUUGUU